AAAUGAUUCUAUAAAAAGUAAUUAAGCUCAAGUAGCGAAAAAAACUUACAUUUUAAGAAAACUUUAAUUGAACUUGAUUGUACAACUGUAAAAACUGCAGCAGCAUAUAGAACAAAAGGCAUGAAAUAUAAUCUAAAUUUUUUGUAAUAAACCCAGAAUGAAAUACAUGCAAAUAAAUACAGCAAAAGAACUAUAUGAAGUAGUCUAAGAAAGGACUGUUUCAGCUCAAGAAGCACUGUUUCAGUUCAGGCUCACCAACAUCUUAAUAACAAAAACUUUUGCAGGCUAUUGCUUAAGGGAACAAAUUUUGAAUAUUUGGGAGGGGAAAACAAAAGCGAAAAAAGAGACUUCUCAAUACUGUCCAAACUUGUAAUAGUCUACAUCAUUUCCUCCACUAUAUCAUAUUGGUGAUCUGCAGGGGUUCUCUUAAUAAAACAACUCUAGUUUUUGCAUCAAAAUAUAUGAGAAAUUUCAAUUGACUAUUUGUCAUAAUUUAAUCUCACAUAUACUUUGCCACAACAAAUUAGAGUAUUAUUUUGACAAUGAACCAAAUUAUAUUACUAAACUAUUGGGCAUAAUUUUACUAAUUUGUACUAUUUGUCCUAAUUUGGCAAUGCACCAAAUUUUACGCCACAUAUAAUCCAAUAUAAGUUAGACCAUGAUUUCUCUAUUUAAGUUGUAGAUUCUUUUGUAUAAUCAGAAUACUUGCCAUGUUUCUUUACCUUUUAUCUCAAUUAGUAUCAUUUAUAUAUUAAUACAAUCAUGAUUUUAAUCAUGCAAAUAUUCACAAUUUGUAACUUUCUUUCGCUUACUAAAUAGAUA
rnacentral:lncRNA from 1 species